UAUCUGCCAAGAUUCGAUUUUUGAUUGAUUAGUUCAGCCCCUGCUGCUCCCAGUGACUGCUGCAUGUUUUAAAGUUUCAGCCUUGUCUGAAGAAUUACCAAUCUGUUGAUGAUACCCAUACACAUGUUCUGAGGGAGAUUUUGGGACAAUUUUGAAUUAAUUAGUUUCUUUUUUUCUAUUCUGAUGUUUCUGAAUUUGCAAGAUUGUUUUUGGUUAGUGUUCGUCUCUGAUGAUGAUUAAAAAUGAUUAACUUUCGUUCUUCUGAUGCGCUUUUCUCAUGGCGCGGUGCGGAAGCAAUCUGGAGACCUGAACUGAGGAGACAAAUCGAUUAGGUUUCUUUUCAAGUUAUUUUUGGCAGCGCAGAUAUGUUUUUGUUUUUUUUUUGUUGCUUCACGACUGGAAGAAUGGCCGAUGAUAUUGGUUUGGUCAUCCUGUAGAGAGAAGCAUAGAUUGAAUUUGGACCAGAAUUAAACAGCAUGGCGCUUACUAACCCGCGUCAAUGUUACCUGUCUCCUGGCACAUUUUGAUUUAUAAAAUCGAUUUGAAUUUUU
rnacentral:sRNA from 1 species